UUAUUAGGUUGGUGCAAAGGUAAUUGCGGUUUGUGCCAUCACUCUCAAUAGCAAAAACUGCAAUAACCUUUGCACCAACCU
rnacentral:miRNA from 1 species